rnacentral:sRNA from 1 species
UGCAUCUGAGGUCUGACGAGGAUGAGAACCUCCGGGGGCAAGAGGUUCGACCCGAGCGAAGCGAGAGAACGUUGCGUCAGCAACGGCCCGCAGGGCGAGCCACGCAGUGGCGAGUCAUCCUCUAUCACCGACCA